rnacentral:rRNA from 1 species
UACGGGGGGGCAAGCGUUGUUCGGAAUUACUGGGCGUAAAGGGCUCGUAGGCGGCCAACUAAGUCAGACGUGAAAUCCCCAGGCUCAACCUGGGAACUGCGUCUGAUACUGGAUGGCUUGAAUUCGGGAGAGGGAUGCAGAAUUCCAGGUGUAGCGGUGAAAUGCGUAGAUAUCUGGAGGAACACCGGUGGCGAAGGCGGGUCUCUGGGCCGAUACUGACGCUGAGGAGCGAAAGCGUGGGGAGCAAACGGG